rnacentral:rRNA from 1 species
UACAGGGGGUGCAAGCGUUACUCGGAUUUACUGGGCGUAAAGAGCGUGUAGGCGGUUUGCUAAGUCCGAUGUGAAAGCCCUGGGCUCAAUCCAGGAAGUGCACCGGAUACUGGUAGACUAGAGUAUAGGAGGGGUUGGCGGAAUUCCCGGUGUAGAGGUAAAAUUCGUAGAUAUCGGGAGGAAUAACAGAGGCGAAGGCGGCCAACUAGACUAUUACUGACGCUAAGGCGCGAAAGCGUGGGGAG